rnacentral:rRNA from 1 species
CCUACGGGUGGCAGCAGUGGGGAAUAUUGCACAAUGGGGGAAACCCUGAUGCAGCGACGCCGCGUGAGUGAAGAAGUAUUUCGGUAUGUAAAGCUCUGUCAGCAGGGAAGAAAAUGACGGUACCUGACCAAGAAGCCCCGGCUUACUACGUGCCCGCAGCCGCGGUAAUACGUAGGGGGCAAGCGUUAUCCGGAUUUAAUGGGUGUAAAGGGAGGGUAGACGGGAGGUUAAGUCUGGAGGGAAAGGCGGGGGCUAAACCCCCGGACUGCUCUGGAAACUGCCAGGCUGGAGUGCAGGAGAGGUAAGUGGAAUACCUAGUGUAGCGGUGAAAUGCGUAGAUAUUAGGAGGAACACCAGUGGCGAAGGCGGCUUACUGGACUGUAACUGACGUUGAGGCUCGAAAGCGUGGGGAGCAAACAGGAUUAGAUACCCUUGUAGUC